UGUGGUGAUGACUGCCAAAAGGAUACACCUGUUCCCAUGCCGAACACAGCAGUUAAGCUUUUGCACGCCAAAAGUAGUUGGGGGAUCGCCCCCUGCGAGGAUAGGACGUUGCCACGC
rnacentral:rRNA from 1 species